AUGAGAUCCCUACACUGCCGUCUAAUCUCCUUCCAUUUUUGCUCCUCGGACUUAGAUUUGCAGUGGUUCCUGUUGCACAAUUUGUGGGAGAGAGAGGUUGGUGUUGGCAGGAUGAGGUGUGUUGGAAGCAUUCUUCUGGUGAUUGUGCUCUCGUUUUCUUCUCUGGCCGUCUUCAAUGCUGCAAUAAACAUGGAACACUUGAACGACAACCCGAUGUCGCUAAUGGGUAGGAAAUGGUUGGGAGGACGGAGGGCAAUUGCCGCUCCGGUAAAUGAAGGUGUACACAAGAAGGAUGAGUUUGUGGGAAGCAAGGUAGCUGCAGAGGUUAGCGUUGUCGGUUUAAGUAAAGAAAUUGUUGUCCAAGUACAUGGCGGCACACGGAGGCGAACUUACCGCACUCCGAGAGUUCAUCCACCAAAGAACGACUGA
rnacentral:rRNA from 1 species